AGAAGCGAGCCUGCUCCUUGAACGAGUGGCCAACCAGCGUCGACGCGCGCGCGUACACACACACACACACACACACACACACACGUACUCGCUGACUCACCUCGAUAUCCACGCCGCCACACCUGCGGCUGUUUCCAUUCCUUACUCCCUCCGCUUUCAAAGACUCAUAAUCUCGACGUGUCUUCUUCUUGCUUUGUACACUCGUAGCCUUCACACUCGAUCCUUACUCAUACCAAACGUACACCAACGCAGCACGAGGCCUCGUUGACGUUCUGCCGUUACUACGCGGUACAGUUGUGUUUUGCGCUUUACAUCUGGCCAUCGCGACUCGACCCGCCUCCUCGGAGCUCGAAUUCUCCACUUGGCAGCAAUCCCGGACUCCUGCUCUUUUCUAUUUCAGCUUCUCUGGCGACUGAGGCUUGCCUGUUCCUGCUCUCUUGUUGUUCCAUUCUCCCAGAUGCGUCGCCUUUUUGCUGCCUCUGUCACUGCGAUCGUUGCAGCGAGCUCUGCGGCGGCCAGGAGGCAUGGCAGCGUUCAACCGAGUGAGUUCGUAUUCGCGCCCGUGCCCGGCGAGGAAGAGGCGACGCGCAACGGCGUCAAGAUGAACUUGUUUCAGGCGGUCAACUCGGGUCUUGAUCACGCACUGUCCAAAGAGAGGACGGUACUUCUCGGUGAAGACGUCGCGUUCGGCGGCGUUUUUCGUUGUACGCUUGAUCUGCGCAAGAAGCAUGGUCCGCAGAAGGUAUUCGACUCGCCGCUAACGGAGCAGGGUAUUGUCGGCUUUGCGGUGGGCAUGGCUGCCGUCGGCUGGCACCCCAUCGCCGAGGUACAGUUCGCCGACUACAUCUUUCCAGCCUUUGACCAGAUUGUGAACGAAGCUGCCAAGUACCGCUUUCGCACGGGCGGCAACUUUCACUGUGGCAUGCUGAUUCGCGCCCCGUGCUCUGCAGUGGGCCACGGUGGCAUUUAUCACUCACAGAGUGUUGAGGGCUACUUUACUCACUGCCCUGGAUUGAAGGUCGUCAUGCCAUCGUCUCCUUCGGAGGCAAAGGGCCUGCUGCUGAAAUGUGUCGAGGAGAACGACCCCUGCAUCUUCUUCGAGCCCAAGAUUCUCUACCGUAGUGCAGUGGAGGAGGUUAACCCGGACUACUACACACUGCCGCUGGGCAAGGGCCGAAUUCUCGUAGAGGGGUGUGACGUGACUAUGGUUACCUACGGUUCUCAAGUGUACGUGGCGGCCAAGGCUGCAGAAAUGGCGCGCAAGGAGGGCAUCUCCGUAGAGCUCAUUGACCUUCGCAGCUUGUUGCCGUGGGACCGUCAACUGGUGGCGGACUCGGUGAAGAAGACGGGUAAAGUGAUUGUCACGCAUGAGGCGCCGAAGACGAGCGGGUACGGUGCCGAGCUGGUGUCUAGCAUAACAGAGGACUGCUUCCUCUCACUCGAGGCCCCGCCGACGCGCGUGUGCGGCUUGGACACGCCGUUCCCUUUGCACGAGCGCCUCUACCUGCCGAACGAGCUGAAGCUGUUGGAUGCUAUCAAGUCCGUGGUGCACUUUUGAGUUCCCAGCGCCGCGCUCUCCCUCUCCUUCGCAUACCCUAUCGUGCCCUCCCUGCCACUUGCUCAGCCUCGAAAGCCAAGCACACACAUCAUACUUGCGCUUGCGGUCGAUGCUGUUCUCAAGCGCGCUGCUGUCUUAACUUUUGCGGCGUCGCCCCCCCUUUUCCCCUCUUUUCUUCCUUCGUCGUUCGUGAGCGACGUGCCUGACAG
rnacentral:misc_RNA from 1 species